CACCACUAAAGCAGGAUCUUUUGGAGAUUGUUCCUUGGUGGAGAUUGCCUCAGAGGUUCCCAGCAGACCAGAGGCUUCUAUAUGGGUGUGUUUUUCCUGCAAAUAACCUUUUGGAUAGUUACUACCAUCUUUUCAUUGUUGUCACCGUACAAGGCCAUUCUGUGAUCAAGUACCACAACUAACACCUGUUCUGCAUUUAACUCCGGAUGCAGUAUAACUAGGAAUGCUGAUGUCUCGUUGAGUCCCCAGGACAACCUGACACGAGGAGCAGAAGGCUUUGUCCAGGUGUGCUGGAAGGACUGCAACCAGGGAGCUGGUGCCAAGUGGCCAUGCCCCUUUGCAGUCCAGAAGGAAGGUUUGUGAUGUUCUGGCUGAGCACAGAGCUGGGCUCCAUUGCUACGUUUUUCUUUUCUCUGCCUCUUUCUGCCUGUAAUGUAAUACAGCACAUAGCAUCUGAUAACAGCUAUUCAGCUGAAGAUCUUUGCACCUCUGUGCAGUACUGUCAGC
rnacentral:lncRNA from 1 species